rnacentral:rRNA from 1 species
UACGUAGGGUGCAAGCGUUGUUCGGAAUUACUGGGCGUAAAGGGCCAGUAGGCGGCCAACUAAGUCACACGUGAAAUCCCCAGGCUUAACCUGGGAACUGCGUGUGAUACUGGAUGGCUUGAAUUCGGGAGAGGGAUGCAGAAUUCCAGGUGUAGCGGUGAAAUGCGUAGAUAUCUGGAGGAAUACCGGUGGCGAAGGCGGCAUCCUGGACCGACAUUGACGCUGAACGGCGAAAGCUAGGGGAGCAAACGGG